rnacentral:tRNA from 1 species
GGGGAAUUCGUCUAGUGGUAGGACGGCUGCUUUGCAAGCAGCUCACAGGAGUUCGAAUCUCCUAUUCUCCACCA